CACAGGGCCAGGCCCCUGGGAAAGCUGGGCCUCUAGGCAGGGGCACAGCCGCAGCUUCCACCGGGGUCAUCCUGCUGCUUGCAUUUAAGCUGCUGAAAGCUGCAGAGCCUGGAGAGCCCCUUCCCCAUCCCGCCUGUCAGGGGAGGCAGGGAGACGAGGCAGCUAGUCCUCAGCACCACGAGUCCUCCCGGUCAGCGGCACAGGAUGUGGUCGGCCGCGCUCACGCAGGUUGCCUGGGGGGCAGAGGGGCAAGACGGUCAGGCCCAGGUGC